GCCAGAAGAACCUUGGAGGUAGAGGAAGGCUUGUAUCUCCCCCACAGACUCAUCCAGGACAUUUGUCUCCACCCUAUUUUGGUUAAAAAAAAACAAAAAACAGCACUUUGAAAACUGGAUCAUAGUACUCAGCAGCACACUGAAACCCAAGAGAGAAGGGAAGGGAAAGAGGAAGAGAAACAUUGAUGUACUCCAGCUGGGAACUGAACCAGCAAACUUAGUUUUCAGCUCCAGGCCAAGAAAAGCAGCAAAACCAGAUGGGCCACCAGGACCAGCUGCAAUGACUAAUGACAGUCUGCCACCACUAACCAAUCAGUGAAGACCAUGACCCUGAAAGGGCACACCUGGAAAAGUUGAUGAGUAUUGUAUGAUACCCUCCUCUAGACUUCCAGCCUUUCAAAAAAACAAACAAAAAAAAACAACUUAAAGGUCCCAGGGAGCACUCCCUCUCCCAAGAGCAUGCCUGUGCCUUUCCCUCCCCCAUCUUUCUCCUCUAAAGUCAAGCAUUUCCUAAACUCUAAGGGACCCCAUGAGACUUGCAGUGGGUGGCAGCAGCUUGUUCCAGGCUAACCCUCUGAAUCUGUCUCCAAGGCCCCUUUUCUUUGACUUUUAGAGGGUCACAGCAGCCUUGCCAGGCUCUCUCCUGUUGUUUCUUUUAUCCUAAGCUCUUCUUUAUUUCACUGUCCCCAACUUUCAUAAACAUACUCUCCAAAUCACCUGGACUCCCAUUGUGAAACCUUUCCCGCACGAAGUCAAGAACCCACACACUACGGGGAGGCCUGAGGCAGACCUGAUCCAGGCCCGGUCAGUCACUGACCGGUCAGUCACUGCCCGGUAACACCGCAAUCCCCUCUCCUCUGGCAACCACCAAUCUGUUUUCUGUACCUAUGAGCCUGCUUCUGUUUUAUUUGUUCAUUUAAAUUGUUCUUUCAAUUCCACAUGUAAGUGAAAUCAUAUGGCACUUUACCUUUUUCUGGCUGAGUUAUUUCUCUUAGAUUAAUAUCCUCUAAAUCCAUCCAUACUGUCACAAGUGGUAAAAUUUCAUUCCUUUUAAAUAUUCCAUUAAGUAAUAUUCCAUUGUAUAUACGAGAUCUGUCCAGAAAGUAUACAGCCAUGUAAUAGGAAAAAUGGGGACACUUAUGGAAGAAGAUACAGGAAACAGAAAACAUUGUACUUAGGACAAUGAUGCCUCGGUCUCCUUCAAAGUAGGCACUGUGGGAACACACACAGUUCCCCCAGUCACCAUCAGCUGCUUUGUUUUAUUUUCUUGAAUCUCAUCAAUGGUAUGAAAUCUCUUCCUUUUCAAAGGUGAUUCAAUGUUUUGCAAAAAAAAGUCUGCACUAGACAUAAUGUAUGAGCAGGCACGUUGUUGUGAUGAAGCUGCCAAUCACCAGUUGCCCAUGGCUGUGGCCUUCUGAAUCAUCCAAAUAGUUUCUGUGGAGGAAUGUUCAAGCUUAAUGAAAAAUCUGAUGCAGAUUCAUUGCUCUACUCAGUCAUUUUGAAUGCAACAGCUACACAGUACAUAUGUUCAUUCAACGGCGUCUACUGCUCCCACUGACUAGUACAGUGAAGUCGUCAUUGUUCUUGCAUGAGUAUUCCAGUCCUCUCUCCUUGACUGCCAGGUUACAUCCAUGUUGCACAAACCUUUCUCAUUAUAUUAACAAUGUGGGACUUUUUCCAGACAGUCCUCAUAUGUACCACCACUUCUUUAUCAACUCGUUUAUUGAUGGGAACUUGGGUUGCUUCUGUAUCUUGGCUAUUGUAAAUAAGACUGCAAUAAACAUAGGAGUACAUGUAUUCUUUCAAAUUAGUAUUUUAGGUUUCUUCAAAUAUUUACCCAAAGAAGAAUUUCUGGGUCAUAAGAUAAUUCCACUCUUAAUUUUCUGAAGAACCUCCAUACUGUUUUCCAUAGUGGCUGCACCAGUCAGUCUGCAUUCUACCAAAAGUGCAUGUGGGUUCCCUUGUCUCCACAUCCUCACCAGCACUUGUUGUUUGUUGAUUUAUUGGUGAUAGCCAUUCUGACAGGGUUGAGGUGCUAUCUCAUUGUGGUUUUAAUUUGUAUUUCUCUAAUGAUUGGUGAUGUGAGCAUCUUUGGAUAUGUCUAUUAGUCAUCUGUUUGUCCUCUUUAAGAAACGUCUAUUCAGGUCCUUGACUCAUUUUUGAUUGGAUUGUUUGUUUUUUCGUGUUGAGUUGUAUGAGUUCUUUAUAAAUUUUGGAUAUUAACCCCUUAUCAGAUGUAUCAUUGGUGAAUAUGUUCUCCCAUUCAGUAGCUUGUCUUUUGGUUUUGUUGAUUUCUUACUUCAGUGAGCAAAAACUCUUU